GUGGGGAAUCUUCCGCAAUGGACGAAAGUCUGACGGAGCGACGCCGCGUGAGUGAUGAAGGCCUUCGGGUCGUAAAGCUCUGUCAUCGGGGACGAAUGGUCGUUGGAGUGGAAAGCCAGCGAAAUGACGGUACCCGAGAAGGAAGCCACGGCUAACUACGUGCCAGCAGCCGCGGUAAUACGUAGGUGGCAAGCGUUGUCCGGAAUUAUUGGGCGUAAAGCGCGCGCAGGUGGGAUCUUAAGUCCAUUUUGAAAGUUCGGAGCUCAACUCCGUGAUGGGAUGGAAACUGGGAUUCUUGAGUACCGGAGAGGAAAGCGGAAUUCCCCGUGUAGCGGUGAAAUGCGUAGAUAUGGGGAGGAACACCAGUGGCGAAGGCGGCUUUCUGGACGGUGUCUGACACUGAGGCGCGAAAGCCAGGGGAGCGAACGGGAUUAGAAACCCUGGUAGUCC
rnacentral:rRNA from 1 species